GUUGAGAUCUAACCUGAUAGGACUUUUCCUAUAGCCACACAUCUGGAAACAUAUAGUAUAACUCUCUGAUUUUGCUUUACUCAUAGGAUUAUUAGAGCUGUGUGGGAGGAGCUAUGAUAUAAGA
rnacentral:snoRNA from 1 species